AUGAAAGUGGAGUUCCACCUAGUUUUGCAAUCAAGAAUCAACUUUCUUGUUAUUUUAAUUUUUUUAAACUUAGCCAUCUCCUCAAACUUCUCUAUCCUUUUUCCUGUUGCUGUCCAAUAUGCCACACUUUCCCUAAUGUUUUCUAUAGCUGACUUCAUAACAUCCAAUCCAUCCUUAACUAUAAGAUUUAAGAUGUGUGCACUACAACGCAUAUGCAGCAGAGUACCUUCCAAAGGGAGCUUCUCCUUCCCUAUCUUCCCCACAAUCAUCUCAAUUGCCUUGUCAUUGGUGGUGCAGUUAUCCACAGUCACUGUCAUCAGUUUUUCAUCAAUAUUCCAUUGA
rnacentral:rRNA from 1 species